AGUGAACGCUGGCGGUAGGCCUAACACAUGCAAGUCGAACGGCAGCACAGUAAGAGCUUGCUCUUACGGGUGGCGAGUGGCGGACGGGUGAGGAAUACAUCGGAAUCUACUUUUUCGUGGGGGAUAACGUAGGGAAACUUACGCUAAUACCGCAUACGACCUACGGGUGAAAGCAGGGGAUCUUCGGACCUUGCGCGAUUGAAUGAGCCGAUGUCGGAUUAGCUAGUUGGCGGGGUAAAGGCCCACCAAGGCGACGAUCCGUAGCUGGUCUGAGAGGAUGAUCAGCCACACUGGAACUGAGACACGGUCCAGACUCCUACGGGAGGCAGCAGUGGGGAAUAUUGGACAAUGGGCGCAAGCCUGAUCCAGCCAUACCGCGUGGGUGAAGAAGGCCUUCGGGUUGUAAAGCCCUUUUGUUGGGGAAGAAAAGCAGCGGGUUAAUACCCCGCUGUUCUGACGGUACCCAAAGAAUAAGCACCGGCUAACUUCGUG
rnacentral:rRNA from 1 species